GUUCCCACUUUGGUAGCACAUAUAUUUGGAACAAUGCAGAGAAGAUUAGCUUGUCCCCUGUGCAAGGAUGACACACAAAUUUGUUGGGCUUGCCUCAAAAAA